GCACUACCUUUUUAAACCCUCGGAAAACCCUAGCUCUUCCUCCUCCUUCAAGUAUCAGAGCCAAAAACUUACUCCAGUAGGACCAAUACCAAAAUUGAAGCUUUCCUAUUUAUACAAUACAUAUAGAAACACGGUUAUAAGCCCUCAAUUUUAGAGCAAUUAGAACAUGGAGGUGGAAACUGUAAAUAACGUGAUGUGCCAAUUCACAGACCGGGAAGAGAAGGCUCUUGGAGCUCCCUUGUAUCUUCCUCUGAACGCGUGUCCACAACAGCCUCAACAAAUAGUCAAUAACCUUCUCAACAAUGUAAUUUUAUAAAUUCCUGUUGUUCUGUGCGUCAGUGUGAUACUGGGUCCUUUCGAUUGCUGAGAAAUUGGUAGGAAAAGUAAUAUAAUCAUUGGUUUUUUAAUAUCUGUUAACAGUGGAAUGAAU
rnacentral:misc_RNA from 1 species